rnacentral:lncRNA from 1 species
AAUUUUAAUGGAAAUGCAUGCACUAUACACCAUAUGGAUGUUUUGGAUAAUUUUAUAUAUGUUUUUUUCUUCUAUAAAUAAGAGUAAAAGAUCAUGAAAUCCUUCACCCUCUCAAAGCUUAAUUAUAUAUAGAAGUUGCAUGUUCUUGUUUUACUAUUAAUGUUUCUCUCUUACAUCUCAUUUUCUUAUUUUGCUGACUUUGUAUUGCAGAUACAACUUGAAAUAAGGUGCAUAUUCCAAUUCCAGGUGAUCUUGUUCUAGUAAGUAAGUUUUAGAACAAUUAAAACCAAAAUCUUGCUCAAGACCGCGCAAUUUGUUCAUGAAAAACCGCAUCUGGGUAUUGGUUUGUCAGGUAUUUCAUCAGUAUUUACAGAGAGGAGCAAGAAGAAGAAGAAGAAGAAGAAGAAGAAUACAAGAUUGGAUAAAAAUGGAUAAGCCUAUACCUUGAUGCUGCUGCUCAUGUAUAUAGGCUGCGUGGUCUUGCGCAAGAUAUUACUUGAGAAAAAAUAUGCACACCUCAUUUGCUGUAUAUAUUCAGUAUAAGUUUAGUUAAUUAAAGUUUCAGUGUUUAUUAUUGCCUAGCUCCAUCAUUCAGUCAGCUGAUAUAGGUGCUUUUCCCUUUUAAUCUUUUAACUUUUUUUUUUUUUUUUAACAUUAAUAUUUACUUGUUUCCAGGUAUUCUGGUGGGAAUUUAUAUCAAGUUUCAUAGAUUUAUUAUAUAAAGAUCUAGGUAUAUUUUUACAUGACUAACAUAGUAUAUAUAGGUUAAUUACAAUUACUUAAUUUUGAUACUUUUUCAGCUGUGGCAGCUAUGUGUAAGUGUUUUAUGUUGCUUAAAUGAUAACUAAUUGACAUCUAUCAGAUGUUUUAAUGAAUGCUUUGUUUGAUUUUUGUACACCGGAAAAACAACACCAGUUACCAGUAUAAUUACAUGUAAUUAAUUUAUUAACAAACUAAUUCAUUCGUAUGAUUGGAUAUGCAAUAAAGUUAUUUUGAGUUUAUUGUGCUUAUGCAUUAUAGUUUUCUAAUAUGCAUAUGAAUUGAUAGUAUAUCCACUUGCAGUGCUAAAAUGAAAACAUAAGACAAAAUUACACAAUUAACAAUUUUACCACUUUAAAAAGAUAAAAUAAAAAUAAUACUUAUGAAAAGUAAUAAACAACAUCCAAACUUAAACUAAUCCAAUAUAUAAAAAUUUAAUUAUACAAUCUAACAAUCAAAAUUAAAUCAUUGCGAUACAAUAAUUAAUAAUU